CCUACGGGGGGCUGCAGUGAGGAAUAUUGGUCAAUGGGGGGAACCCUGAUGCAGCGACGCCGCGUGGGUGAAGGAGCGUUUCGGCGCGUAAAGCCCUAUCGGCAGGGAAGAAGAUGACGGUACCUGACCAAGAAGCUCUGGCUAACUACGUGCCAGCAGCCGCGGUAAUACGUAGGGGGCAAGCGUUAUCCGGAUUUACUGGGUGUAAAGGGGGCGCAGACGGCAAUGCAAGCCAGGAGUGAAAGCCUGGGGCCCAACAGCGGUACUGCUCUUGGAACUGCAUGGCUGGAGUACAGGAGGGGCAGGCGGAAUUCGUAGUGUAGCGGUGAAAUGCGUAGAUAUUAGGAGGAACACCGAUGGCGAAGGCGGCCUGCUGGACUGUGACUGACGUUGAGGCCCGAAGGCGUGGGGAGCAAACAGGAUUAGAUACCCUAGUAGUC
rnacentral:rRNA from 1 species